AUGAAUUUAGAGUAACUCUUUGAGUGCUCAACCCUUCAUUUCCCACUCUGUGCAUUUUUGGGCGAUACAAGGUGAAACUUGUUAUUGCCCCCCUUAUAUAAACCCUAGUUAAAGUAUGUAAUUUAAAUAUAAAAUCUAAA
rnacentral:misc_RNA from 1 species